ACCUCGGAUCAGGUAGGGAUACCCGCUGAACUUAAGCAUAUCAAUAAGCGGAGGAAAAGAAACCAACAGGGAUUACCUCAGUAACGGCGAGUGAAGCGGUAACAGCUCAAAUUUGAAAGCUGGCUCUUUUAGGGUCCGCGUUGUAAUUUGUAGAAGAUGCUUCGGGUGUGGCCCCGGUCUAAGUUCCUUGGAACAGGACGUCAUAGAGGGUGAGAAUCCCGUAUGUGACUGGGUGCUUUCGCUCAUGUGAAGCUCUUUCGACGAGUCGAGUUGUUUGGGAAUGCAGCUCAAAAUGGGUGGUAAAUUUCAUCUAAAGCUAAAUAUUGGCCAGAGACCGAUAGCGCACAAGUAGAGUGAUCGAAAGAUGAAAAGCACUUUGGAAAGAGAGUUAAACAGUACGUGAAAUUGUUGAAAGGGAAGCGCUUGCAACCAGACUUGCGCGCUGAUGAUCAUCCGGGCUUUUGCCCGGUGCACUCGUCUGCGCUCAGGCCAGCAUCGGUUUCGGUGGUGGGAUAAAGGCCUUGGGAACGUGGCUCCUCUCGGGGAGUGUUAUAGCCCUCGGUGCAAUGCCGCCAACCGGGACCG
rnacentral:rRNA from 1 species